CAGUCGCCGCGGUAAUACGUAGGGGGCUAGCGUUGCUCGGAAUUACUGGGCGUAAAGCGCACGCAGGCGGCUCGAUAAAUUAGAAGUGAAAGCCUUGGGCUUAACCUGAGAAUUGCUUUUAAGACUGUCGAGCUAGAAUCCAGAAGAGGGUAGUGGAAUUCCGAGUGUAGAGGUGAAAUUCGUAGAUAUUCGGAAGAACACCAGUGGCGAAGGCGACUACCUGGUCUGGCAUUGACGCUCAUGUGCGAAAGCGUGGGGAGCAAACAGGAUUAGAUACCCCGGUAGUCCCUGUCUCUUAUAC
rnacentral:rRNA from 1 species